rnacentral:rRNA from 1 species
GUACACGCUGUGACUAGCAUAUCAAUAAGCGGAGGAAAAGAAACUAACAAGGAUUCCCUCAGUAACGGCGAGUGAAGCGGGAAGAGCUCAAAUUUGAAAUCUUGAAAGGUCACCUUUCACGAAUUGUAGUUUAAAGAAGUGUUUUCUGUUACGAUCGUAAUAUAAGUUCUUUGGAAUAGGACAUCACAGAGGGUGAGAAUCCAGUCUAUGAUUGCGAUUUGUAGCUUUGUGAUACACUUUCAAAGAGUCGGGUUGUUUGGGAAUGCAGCCCAAAACGGGAGGUAAAUUUCUUCUAAGGCUAAAUAUUGGCGAGAGACCGAUAGCGAACAAGUACCGUGAGGGAAAGAUGAAAAGAACUUUGAAAAGAGAGUUAAAUAGUACGUGAAAUUGUCAAAAGGGAAGCGUUUAACACCAGUGUUGUUUUCUGAAAAUCAACCUCUGUUAGCUUUAUGCAUGUUUGUUUAGACCUAAUCAGCUAUCUUUCAUGUUCUAUUGUUUGCAGUGGUGCACUUUUCAGUUUACAGGUCAACAUCAGUUUUUUUUACCGUAAAAAAGUUAAAGAAAGGUAGCUCAUGGCUCCGGUCGUGAGUGUUAUAGUCUUUUUCCUAUGCGGUAGGAGAGACUGAGGUCUGCAGUGUAGGCUAUUUGGCUAGAUACUCAGGUGCUAUGUGAUACCAUUUUAUAAACAACUUGUUGAUUAUGUUUUGUCUAUUGCAUACUCGCUUGUACUAUCAUACCUACGCUUAGGAUGUUGAGUAGCGACAUACGCAC